AUUGAACGCUGGCGGCAGGCUUAACACAUGCAAGUCGAGCGAGCGGCGGACGGGUGAGUAAUGUCUGGGAACCUGCCUGAUGGAGGGGGAUAACUACUGGAAACGGUAGCUAAUACCGCAUACUAUCAGAUGUGCCCAGAUGGGAUUAGCUAGUAGGUGGGGUAAUGGCUCACCUAGGCGACGAUCCCUAGCUGGUCUGAGAGGAUGACCAGCCACACUGGGACUGAGACACGGGCCAGACUCCUACGGGAGGCAGCAGUGGGGAAGUUUGGACAAUGGGCGAAAGCCUGAUGCAGCCAUGCCGCGUGUGUGAAGAAGGCCUUCGGGUUGUAAAGCACUUUCAGCGAGGAGGCGUUACUCGCAGAAGAAGCACCGGCUAACUCCGUGCCAGCCGCCGCGGUAAUAC
rnacentral:rRNA from 1 species